ACAGCAGUCGCCACGGGAAUACGUAGGGUGCGAGCGUUAAUCGGAAUUACUGGGCGUAAAGCGUGCGCAGGCGGUUAUAUAAGACAGAUGUGAAAUCCCUGGGCUCAACCUGGGACCUGCAUUUGUGACUGUAUAGCUAGAGUACGGUAGAGGGGGAUGGAAUUCCGCGUGUAGCAGUGAAAUGCGUAGAUAUGCGGAGGAGCAUCGAUGGCGAAGGCAAUCCCCUGGACCUGUACUGACGCUCAUGCACGAAAGCGUGGGGAGCAGACAGGAUUAGAGACCCCUGUAGUCCCUGUCUCUUAUAC
rnacentral:rRNA from 1 species